rnacentral:rRNA from 1 species
UACGUAGGUGGCAAGCGUUGUCCGGAUUUACUGGGCGUAAAGGGUGCGCAGGCGGUGGAGCAAGUCUGUUGUGAAAUCUCCCGGCUUAACCGGGAGGGUGCGGCGGAAACUGUUCUGCUGGAGUGAGGGAGAGGCAAGCGGAAUUCCUGGUGUAGCGGUGAAAUGCGUAGAUAUCUGGAGGAACAUCGGUGGCGAAGGCGGCAUCCUGGACCGGUAUUGACGCUGAGGCGCGAAAGCUAGGGUAGCAAACGGG